GACGAACGCUGGCGGCAUGCCUAACACAUGCAAGUCGAACGAAGAUAGCGAUAUCUUAGUGGCGAACGGGUGAGUAACGCGUGAGCAACCUGCCUUGUAUACUGGGAUAACACAGAGAAAUUUGUGCUAAUACCGGAUAUGACCACACUACCGCAUGGUAGAGGGGUGAAAGUGAUUUAGCGAUACAAGAGGGGCUCGCGUCCAAUUAGCUAGUUGGCGGGGUAACAGCCCACCAAGGCGACGAUUGGUAGCCGACUUGAGAGAGUGAUCGGCCACAUUGGGACUGAGACACGGCCCAG
rnacentral:rRNA from 1 species